rfam:Pteropus alecto contig109305, whole genome shotgun sequence.
AGUUCCAUAGAGUAGUGGUUAGCACGUCUGCUUUACACGCAGAAGGUCCUGGGUUUGAGCCCCAGCGGAGCCA